AGAGUUUGAUCCUGGCUCAGAACGAACGCUGGCGGCGCGUCUUAAACAUGCAAGUCGGACGGGAACCUCGGUGCUUGCAUUGAGGGGAGAGUGGCGAACGGGUGAGUAACACGUGGAUAAUCUACCUCUGGGAUGGGGAUAACUACCCGAAAGGGUAGCUAAUACCGAAUGAGAUGGUGGCUGCAUAUGCAGCAGCUAUUAAAGGUGGGGACCGCAAGGCCUACCGCCUGGAGAUGAGUCCGCGGCCCAUUAGCUUGUUGGCGGGGUAAUGGCCCACCAAGGCGACGAUGGGUAACCGGCCUGAGAGGGUGAACGGUCACACUGGGACUGAGAUACGGCCCAGACUCCUACGGGAGGCAGCAGUUAAGAAUUUUGCGCAAUGGGCGAAAGCCUGACGCAGCGACGCCGCGUGGACGAUGAAGGUCUUCGGAUUGUAAAGUCCAGUAAGCAGGGACGAAUAAGCAAGGGGUAAUAUUCCUUGUGAUGACGGUACCUGUCUAAAGCCUCGGCUAACUACGUGCCAGCAGCCGCGGUAAUACGUAUGAGGCGAGCGUUGUUCGGAAUUAUUGGGCAUAAAGGGCGUGUAGGCGGGGGACUAAGUUAGGUGUGAAAGCCACGGGCUCAACCCGUGAAUUGCAUCUAAUACUGGUUCUCUUGAGUUCGGGAGAGGAGAGCGGAAUUCCAGGUGUAGCGGUGAAAUGCGUAGAUAUCUGGAAGAACACCAGUGGCGAAGGCGGCUCUCUGGCCUAGGACUGACGCUAAGGCGCGAAAGCGUGGGGAGCGAACGGGAUUAGAUACCCUGGUAGUC
rnacentral:rRNA from 1 species